rnacentral:ribozyme from 13 species
UUUCUCCUUCUCCCUCUCCUUCUCCUCUUCUUUUUUUUUGGUGUGCUCUUUUUUCAUGACAUCUUUUAACACAAAGACAAGUGCAUGAUAUGAAUAGAUGGCCACCUGACUCACAGCAAAAUCCCUCUUACAUUUGUUGUACAUCAAAUCUAUUCCACUCCAAUUCCCCUCUUUCACCAAUAAAUGAAUAAAAAGGAAUGACAAAAAAAUUCGAAAAGAAGUGUAGUGAGUGGGAAAAGCCUCUACAAUAUGGGGAGAUGAAUAAAUACGCCAAUAAUUCUUUGUUUUGCUUUUUGGGAGGGAGAAAAGGUUUGAGAGGAAGAAGAAGGACUUGGAAGUGGUUUGGUCGGCUAGAGACACAGCAACAGAGGGGUCUUUUGAAUGUUUUUGUGUAAAAUAUCCUAAGC